GGGGAAUUUUCCGCAAUGGGCGAAAGUCUGACGGAGCGACGCCGCGUGGAGGAUGACGGCUUUCGGGUCGUAAACUCCUUUUGCCAAGCCCUUCACAGCUUGGAGAAUAAGCCUUUACUAACUACGUGCCAGAAGUCUCGGUAAUACGUAGGAGGCAAGCAUUAUCCGGAUUAACUGGGCGUAAAGCGUGCGUAGGCGGUUUCUUAAGUCGCAUUUUAAAGCCUGUGGCUUAACCACAGAUUUGGAUGCGAUACUGGGUUACUUGAGGAAUGUUCGGGGUAUCGGAACAGUUGGUGUAGCGGUGAAAUGCGUUGAUAUCAACUGGAACACCGAAGGCGAAGGCAGAUACCUGGAAUUUUCCUGACGCUGAGGUACGAAAGCUAGGGUAGCGAAAGGGAUUAGAUACCCCUGUAGUC
rnacentral:rRNA from 1 species